UACGGAGGGUGCAAGCGUUAUCCGGAUUCACUGGGUUUAAAGGGUGCGUAGGUGGGCUUGUAAGUCAGUGGUGAAAUCUCCGUGCUUAACAUGGAAACUGCCAUUGAUACUAUGGGUCUUGAAUUAUCUGGAGGUCAGCGGAAUAUGUCAUGUAGCGGUGAAAUGCUUAGAUAUGACAUAGAACACCAAUUGCGAAGGCAGCUGGCUACAGGUAUAUUGACACUGAGGCACGAAAGCGUGGGGAUCAAACAGG
rnacentral:rRNA from 1 species